GACGAACGCUGGCGGCGUGCCUAAUACAUGCAAGUAGAACGCAGUUUCGAACGGGUGAGUAACGCGUAGGUAACUGCCUGGUAGCGGGGGAUACCUCUUUGAAACGAUAGCUAAUACCGCAUACUACCCGCUUGACCUGCGUUGUAUUAUCUAGUUGGUGGGGUAACGGCGAACCAAGGCACCGAUACAUAGCCGACCUGAGAGGGGGAGCGGCCACACGGGGACUGAGACACGGCCCAGACUCCUACGGGAGGCAGCAGUAGGGAAUCUUCGGCAAUGGACGGAAGUCUGACCGAGCAACGCCGCGUGAGUGAAGAAGGUUUUCGGAUCGUAAAGCUCUGUUGUAAGAGAAGCGGUAUCUUACCAGAAAGGGAUGGCUAACUACGUGCCAGCAGCCGCGGUAAUAC
rnacentral:rRNA from 1 species